GUGUAUUUUCCCCCUUUUCGCGAAAUGGUAUAGUCUCAAAAGUUUCUUCCAAUAGCACUAACUGCAUUUAUCACAGAACCGGUCUUUGUUACUCUGUGCGCGUUAUGUAACCGUUUUUUUGCAGCAAGCUUUUUCGGUAGUUGUGGGUUUUCUCUCCAGCAGCAUUACAAAAGCCAUGGUUGUGUGUAAAUUAGGUGUUUGCAACACCUUUGGUGAAUAAUAGAAUUCAGGUGUUUAAACAAAAGUUACUAGGGAGUUGCUUUGCCAACAGUGAAGGAACAGUGGAGUGAUUGGGUGUGUGUGGGUUUCUGACGGAAAAGUGAGAGUGAUCAUGAAGGAAUCAGAUCAGAGCAGACCAGAUCGUGGUAGAAAGCAGAUGUGAUUUUGAAGAAUUGUCUUGUGUGUGUCACUGCAUGAACCUGAGCCAACAGGCAUAGCAAAGCUAUAGCAGGCAGUUUAUGUUGAAUAGUUGAGAGCCUAUUUGAGGCAGUAAUAUUUGGGCUUGAAUUUCAAGGCCCCAGUGAGCAGUUUUGUGCUCAGUUAAACACACCAAGGAGAUCUGGGAUUUCAAGAAACCACACAACCAUGGCUGUCUGGUGAAGGACAAGGGACGAGCUGUAGCCAUUAGCUGGGCAUCGAACUGGUGCGGCUGUAGGACACCCAACCCAGGAGGCGGUGUAUCCAACGAUCAACCGGCAUCAGACGAUUCAAGACAGUACCGUGGGCUGAUAUCCUUAAAACGCCUGCUCCUCCCAUUUAAAGACCCUUGUAUAGAGUAAAAUAAUUUAAAGUAACUGCAGAGUGGAAGUUUGUUUAAAGAUUAAUUGCUAUUCAUUUAAAAGGAAACACGAAGGACAUAAUAUGAUCUAGAAUGUGAAUUAAUGUAACAAGUGAAGAAAUACCGGCCUACCACAGUUGUAAAUAAGUGUAAAUUGUUUGUAAAUAGAACAGAUAUACUGAAGGAAAAG
rnacentral:lncRNA from 1 species